GGACUAGAAGCAUGAGCCAUCACACCUGGCCUGAAUAAAAUACAAAUUUUUAAAUAAUAACAUACCGUGAGAUACUUUUAACAAUGCAAGAAUGCUGAAAAUAAUCUCUGAUGAGUCAGAAAGACUCUCACUAUCUAAUGGUGAUUCAGAGUAACCAUAAAACAAAAAUUAUCAUCAUAUAAGACUAAAAAAAUUCUGGAUUCCUGGACUUUUUGGUUAUUUGAACCUUUAUAAUAAGGGCAAUAGGACAAAUAAGCAGCAGUGGUCAUGUCAAUAUUACACAAAGCUAAAAAUUAUUAUGCAGGAAAGUUAGAAAUAGUAAACAGCCUCAAAAAUGUACAAUGAAAAGUGAAGUUUCUCAAUGAAUUUUUUUGGGAGAAAUAACCAAUGAUAAUGUUGUAAUUAUGUAGCAUUUAAUCAGCCUCAUAUAUUAAAAGGAUGUAACAAGAUUUUAGUUGCAAAAUUUUUUGAACUAGUAUGUCAAAAAUUAAAUGGGCUAGUCAAAGUAAUCUAUGGAAACCUACUACUUUUAUAUGGUUGGUGGUGGAAGUCCACACAAGUAAACCAAACCUUAAAACUUCUAAGGUCUAUGGUAAGGGAGGAAGGGGCUUUUCAUGAGCCAGGAAAAUGUCCUUUUAGACUACAGGUCCUGUGUGUGUUCCUUAUUUAUAGGUCAGAUGUGAUUAGCACAGGUUGUUCCUUUACUGGCACUACAGCCCAUGGCUUUACCAUCAGUUAACCUUUUUAACUGAUUGUGAAUGCAUAGCAGUUAUGGGUCAUUUUUAUAGAGAUGAAGCUCCCAAAGCUUCACCUGCUCAUCUUGCAAACUUCUCCUAUGCUGUCCAGUUGGGCAUUUCUGUAUAUAAAUUGAGUGGUUGCACUUAUUAUCGACAUAGCAAUGACAGUAAUUUAGAGUUGUAUAUUUCAAUAGGCAUGCAAUAUACUGAGCAAUGGUCCGAGUCUUACAUAUGUUAACUUAUGUGUGAAGUAGUUAAUAUUACUAUACCCAGGUUCCAGUAGAGGAUACAGAGAGGUAAGUGAAUCACCUAAGGUCACUUAGGUCACAUAGGGAGUAAGUAACAGAUUUGAAUCCUGUCAUCUGGCUCUUCUAACCACCACCCUAUUCUGCCUGGAUUUCAUCAAUACUUUAUUGCCUUGGCCCAGUGCACACUUGAUGUUUAAAGUACAAGUGAAGAAAGGGCCACAGUCUAACCUGUCACCAGCCUAACCUCUGCCCUAUACAUAGAGGGCAUAGCUGGAACCUUAUAUUUGGGUUUCUGUAAUGCUGCCAUUUUGUUUAGGAGGGAUAUGAACCUUUCUCUUGGAUGGUCUGGUGGUUUUAAAAAUAUACCACGAAAUUCUUUUCUACUUCUCCCUUCAGGAAAUGGUGCUAAAUUUCCCUCUUUAGUGUGGGCUGGACUUAGUAACUUGCUUCUAGCAAAUAAAAUAAAGCAAAAGUGACCGUGUGUGACUUUGGGGCCUAGGUCCUCAAAAGCUCAGUGCCCUCCAUCUUGGUCAGUCUCUCUCUUGGAUCACUUGCUGUGGGGAGAACCAGCUACCAUGUCAUGAGGAAAGUCGCACAAGGAAAAAAACUAGGAUCUAGGUCUGCCAACAGCCAUGUGAGUGAGCUGGGAGGCAGACCUUGCAGCCCCAUGCAGGGCUUUCGGAUGAGUGCAGGUCUGGUGGACAUCUGGUCUCCAAUGCAUGAGGAACCCCGAGCCCAAGCCACCUAGCUAAGCCUCCGAAUUCUUGUCCUAAAGAAACUGUGAGAUAAUAAAUGUUUGUUGUUUUAAGUCUCUAAAUUUUAGGGUGAUCUGUUAUGUAGUAAUGGAUAACUCAUGCAGGUGGCAUCAUGGUAGCCAGUAAACUUUCACCAAAUUAUUCAUAAUCACAUUGAACUUAAGGAGUGUGUUUUCGGUUUUGACAGAGAAGCAUUUCUGGGUGUUGCCUGUGGAACAGAGCACCCUGGGCUUAUACUCAACCAAAUAUUUUGAAAUUGAGGGAGUAUAUUUGAAAUGAACAUGUAGCUUAAAUCUGCUUUCUAUUUCAAGGUCUCUGAAUAGUCUUUCUCUUCUCUUGUCACCUGUAGUGCUCUGAAUUGAAUAGACUCACUUUUUUUCUGCUGUUUGAGAGCCUAGAGCAGUUUGAUUUUAACACAAUUGUUGCUUAGCAAUAGGAAGGAACUGAAUGGUUCCACUCUAUUCUGCAAACCGAGAGGAGCCUCCCUGUGUAGCUAUUGUCUGUCUGUAAUGCUGAAUCUAAAAUUGUAAUUAUCAUUUGAAAAUGACAUUGAAGCUGGCCUAUGUGACACAUUAUACUUAACCUAGCAUCUCAGUUGCCCAGGGAGUUAGACUGACGCAGUUUGAGGUCCCUUGUAGACAAGCUAGUCUCUUGGAAUUAUGAGAUAUUUAGAAGUCUGAGACAAAGCUGGAAAAAAACUAGUAAAUUCCUCAUGGGUAGGCAAACAGGUGGUUUGUAUUCACCAUAUAUUUAUUUUGUGAUUCUGGGACCAAAAACUUGGCUCUUAAAUUGUUGUGACUACAAUCUGGGCCAAUGAUUUUAGAAAAGAAUCCAUAGAGAAGCGGGAAUUCUAAAAAACUGGGGGGGGGGGGGUGUGGGAGAGGGAUGUCUAGCCACCACCGACCUUGAUACCCUGCUCUGUUGGAAAGGCUCCCAGAAAUAUCAGCUGCUUAGAAUUUUUAAACACAAUGUGUAAAUCUGAUUCUUCAUCAGAAAGGUUGGUAUCAAGUUUCAGAAGCCUCCACUCAAAUUAAAAUUGUUAUUCUUUCCCACUCUGUAGACUAAAUUAUGUACAAGCUUACUUGAUUUUUAAGAAAUCUUCAAUUAGUUAUAUAGGUGUUUCUGUGAGCACACAGUGCCAUAUCAGGUCCUGUGGAAGGAUAAAAAUGAAAUACAUUGAGUAAAAGUACGGAAGUAGAAGGCAUUGCUUCUACUCUUUAAGAACUGGACAGCUAGUUGAAAAGGUUAGAUGAACAGGCAUAAAGUGAAGGUUAAGUAAUCAAGAUGUAAACUCCAGCAUGCUGUAUAAUAAUCAGUAUAAUUAUCAGCCAUGUUAUUAAACUCUGGACUUGAAAACCAAGAGAAAAUGUCACAUUAGCAAAAUAACAAGGCUUCAGUGCAUGACCCUGAAAUAAUAGGUUAAUAUAGUUUCAAAUUAUUUCAUAGGCUCUUCCAAUUAGUCAGCUUUUUCUGGCAGCAGAUUUUUUUUUUAACUUUGAAACACUUUCUUCCUCUGGAUCUAUAAGUUAUUCUUUAUGGGUACGCAUUUCCUGGUUUGUGUAACUAUCUGAGGAAUUUAGCUGGUAUAUUAGAUUAGGUGGAAGCAGCAUCUGUCAUGCUGGACUAAAUUAAUAUUUCCAAGAUUUCUGCACGUGCAUUGAAAUGAGAAGUGAUGAGAGACAUAUUGGAGCAAAUUAUAUUUUACUGGUUUUGAAAAUCAAUAGUCGUAAACCCCAAAUAGCCUAACUGAAACAAGUAAAAUAAUAGUGCUGUGAUGUGCUUUUAUGUGUAUGUGUGUGUCUGUGUGUGUUUUAAAAUAAAUGUAACAACCAACCAUAGGGGACCAACUGUCUCCUUUUUCAGAUAUUACUGGAUCAUCCGCUGUAAAGGCUCUGAGGCUUCAUGUUUAAUUAUGUCUAGCAUUUGAAUGGUAAUAGCACAGAUGUUACCUGCCUAUAAUCCUCCUGCUCUCUACAGAUUUUGCUUUGUUCUUGCUUCUCAUUUUUGAGGUCCUGUACACAAUUUGAAAUUAAUUAAAAACAGUAGAGCAACUUAGUCUGGAUAAGCCUUCAUCUGGCAAAUAAUGUUACACUGCCAGAGAUUUCCUCUGCCAAAGUCAGUUCUCUUAAUUCCUGUAGAUGUGUAUUCAACAAGCCAUAGUCCCAUUUAGACGCAGGCAGUAAAUGCACGCAGUCUCAGCAGAGGUUAGAUUCUCCUGCCUUGCCUUCCUCGUAUUCCUCACUGGGCAUUAAUGACUUGCAAGUGAUGUUCUCUUUCUCUUUUUUCUGUAGUACUAGCAUUAUGGAUUUACAAAUACCUGAGUGUUCAUUACAACAAGGCUUGAAGUAGGAAGGCUGAUAUCAUCUUCGUCUUCUGACAGAUAAAGGAACAGGCUCAGUGAGAAAAAGAAACUUACUCAGGGGCACGGAAACUGACUCAGGGCAAUUAUAAAUCACAAACUGGAUUCCUAGUGCUUUAGGUUACUUUUGUUUAGUGGUAUUUCACAGCCAUAUCCCUCUGAUAUUUCAAGGGACAUCUGAAGAAUUAAUUGGUAUGCAGCUCUGUGAUUUUAACUACUGACCAGCUUCUCAGAUUGAGUCACUUCCCAUAUAUAAGAAAGUUUUAAGGACUGCCUUUUAUUCCUGGUUUCCUUUGUGCAGUUGACAGUUUGGGUUUAAUUUUCCAGCAGGGAAGUCAGGGCAUACUCAGAUACUGAUUGUUACGCAUAGGAGACAUCUUUAGGGAUCUGAACCUAUUUUUUCGUUCUCAUAAACAUUUCUUCAGCUAAACAUGUAACAGAACCACCACAGCAAGUAGAGGAAACACCUGUAGUCACCGACCAGAUUUCAUUUAUUUUCUUUGUCAUUUAAAAAUCCAUCCUCCAUGAGUUUCACCGUCUUCUGAUGGAAACCUAGGAGAGAAGCCUCUCUUAACGGUUAUAUAUUGUCAUAUUGUUAUUUCUAAACAGCCUGAUGCAGAUGUAUUUCACAUACCACCCAGUUCACCCAUUUAAAGUGUGUAAUUCAAUGGUUUUAAGCAUUGCCCUGCCAUCUUCAAUGGGCUUCUAGUCUUGAUUUUGAAAAUACCCAGGCUGCCUACUGUAGAAAGUAGUUCGCUUGAGAUCUGUGAGAAACUCUUCACUCUGAGCACUGUGGGGUGGGUGGUGGGUACAGUUAAGAAGCCCCAGGCCCUGGCAUGUUCACAAUCUAAGCCUGAGGAUUUCAGCUUCUGUUUUUAUUACUCUAAGGAAGGAAACGAAGGGCUGUGUGCCUAUUCCCAAGGAGAAUGAUUGCUGGUGUCUGGUGACUUGGCAGUGGGAAAAGAUGUUUUUAGGGAACAUAGGCCGUAAGGGCCUUAGGGAGAGUGGCCAUGAGGGCAGGUAAGAAUGGCUUUCCAAGGGGUCAGAAUUAAAGAGUGGUCAAGAGAGGAAAUUCUGAUGUCAAGUAAACCUGCACCUGAGUUCUGCCGUUUAGCUAGCUGUGUGACCUGGGGCAGCUUCUCUAAGUCUCAUUUUUCUCAUCUUUAAAAUGAGAAGAAUGGUUGUACCCAAUUCACAGAGUCCUCAUGAGGAUUAAAUGAGGUGAACCAUUUGCAGUUCUUAGCUCAGCAUCUGGAACCAUCUAAGUGUUCAAUGAAUAUUUUCUGCUGUUAUUUUUGGCUAUUUCCUCCACUUGAUUUAUAAGCUUCUUGAGAGCAGGGACUGUGUGUUCACCACUGGACUCCAGCCCCCAUCCUCAGGGCAGUCCAGAGUGUUGAAGUGAAAUAGAUGAAUUCCCCCAUCAUCCGUUUAUUUUUUGGAUUUCUUCCUGACUUACUUAUGUGCAUACACAUAUGUGCCCAUGAACAUACACACACACAUACACACACAUGCACACUACUCCCCAAACUGACUUCCAGGCAGGAAUUAGUAAAAUUACUGCAAAAGUUUAAAUUAAAAAA